rnacentral:tRNA from 1 species
GGCCGGUUAGCUCAGUCAGUUGAGCAUGACGCUAAUAACACCAAGGUCGUGGGUUCGUUUCCCAUUCAGUCCC